ACGGGUGAGUAAUACAUCGGAACGUGCCCAAGAGUGGGGGAUAACGGAGCGAAAGCUUUGCUAAUACCGCAUACGAUCUACGGAUGAAAGCAGGGGACCGCAAGGCCUUGCGCUCAUGGAGCGGCCGAUGGCAGAUUAGGUAGUUGGUGGGAUAAAAGCUUACCAAGCCGACGAUCUGUAGCUGGUCUGAGAGGACGACCAGCCACACUGGGACUGAGACACGGCCCAGACUCCUACGGGAGGCAGCAGUGGGGAAUUUUGGACAAUGGGCGCAAGCCUGAUCCAGCCAUGCCACGUGCAGGAUGAAGGCCUUCGGGUUGUAAACUGCUUUUGUACGGAACGAAAAGCCUCUUUCUAAUAAAGAGGGGUCAUGACGGUACCGUAAGAAUAAGCACCGGCUAACUACGUGCCAGCAGCCGCGGUAAUACGUAGGGUGCGAGCGUUAAUCGGAAUUACUGGGCGUAAAGCGUGCGCAGGCGGUAAUGUAAGACAGAUGUGAAAUCCCCGGGCUCAACCUGGGAACUGCAUUUGUGACUGCAUUGCUGGAGUGCGGCAGAGGGGGAUGGAAUUCCGCGU
rnacentral:rRNA from 1 species